GGCCCGAAAAUCUGUGGAGAAAUUCUUCCCCCACAGACAAGUUUUGAGAAUCACUGCCCUGGUCAAAACGGAUUUCAAGGCGGCCCUCACCCCCUAACUUAUGGGAGCUGCAGGAGAGGGCUCACCUGCCCAGGAAGUGGAUCCAUGACUUUCAUCAAGUUCUCUAAAUGAUGAAAAAGAUUAGAAAACACUACUUUAAGGCUUGGUGAAAAUUAAGAGAAAUUUUGACAUCAGGAGAGAAAGGAGAGAAAAUGAAGAAGCUUCUUCAAAGUAGAAAAAGAAAAAACAACCUGCGAACUCUGCAUUCAUUCAUUGUUACUUUAAAAGGGGAUGUGUCCCAUGGUUCUAUUUCACACAAAGAAAAAGACUAAAAACAUUUAGAAAGUUUGCAUGGAAAUCCCCAAAGCUUAUAGAUCAUCAUAACCACUCUACAGAGAGAGAAAACCCUAAGAGCUCCAACCUGGAAGAACCUCUCAACAUCGUAAGACCUACUGAGCACCAGAGGAUUCAUUCAGGAAAGGAGCCUCACAAGUGCCCUGGCUGUUAGAGAAGCUUCCUUCAUUCAGACAUUGAUAGAUACCGACAUCUCCACAUAGGAAAGAGACCCCAUGAAUGCACUAUAGUUUAUGAAAAGUGAUUUGACAGUGUGUUUUAAGAAUAUUUAAAAUAUUUCCUUUUUUUUUUAGGAAAUAUUUCUCCCUCACAGCAUGUGGGAUCUUAGUUCCCCAACCAGGGAUCAAACCCAUGUGCCCUGUAACCACUGGACCACCAGGGAAGUCCCUAUUUCACCUCUUUUAUCAAGAAGUUCCACAUCUGAGAAACAAUUCUGAGGGGAGAAAACAAAAACAGAAUUGCAACAAUAAAAAUAUAGUCGUUACACAAACAUUCACCCCCAUACACAGAUCCUCCAGUGGUUCCCCACUGCCCUGAUAAUAAAGCACAGAUUCCUCAACAAAGCUGUAAAGACCUUCAAGGUGCAGGCACUGAAUUGUGGCAACAAGCACUGCCGCUGACCCUGCCCCUUCCCCAAGUCAUAUUUCUUGGGGCUCCCUGUUUCAUUUGGCUUCCCAGGUGUCGCCAGUGGUAAAGAAUCCACCUGCCAAUGCAGGAAGAUCCCCUGGAGAAGGAAAUGGUAACCCACUCCAGUAUUCUUGCCUGGAAAAUUACAUGGACAGAGGAGCCUGGUGGGCUAUAUAGUCCUUGGGGUUGCAAAGAGUCGGACAUGAUUGAGCCCACACCUGAAGCCUCCCUGAUCCCGCGCCUGCUCAGCCUGGUAGUUAGACCAACUGUCGCCCCUCCUUGCCUGAAUAAAGGUAACCUGUCUCGGGAGAGGUAGUCUUCCUUUCUUCAUUGCCUUGUCUCAAACUACACAUUUUUGGUGCCAAAACCCAGGAGAGGGCGAGGCACUCGCCUCUCUCUCUCUGUCUGUUGUUUUCCCCCAUCCCAGAGCCUGGAAUUGUGAGCGGUGCAAGCCUUGUCCUUUUAUUGGUAACUUAUGUACCCCCAGGCCUCCAGCUCUAUCCCCCACCUCUCUCUGACGACCUCCAGAACAGGGAACUCUUGCCAUUCGACCGCUCUGCAUCCAAUGUUCCACUCACUCCGGCCCCUAGAUUAAGGUAAGAUCCAGAUAGUGUUCUAGAGGUACUUAGAAUACUAUCCUCUCCGGGUCUUGGGGACCCCCAGCCUAAGGCCACUCUGUAAAUGACAGUGGGGGACCCUGCGCCUCGAUACAGAGCUCUCCUCUCAUAACUCCUAUUGUGACUACGGGUGAUGACCCAAACUCAAAAUAGGAGCCUCUGCUUGCCUCCCAAUCAUGGGGUCUGGCCAAUCUAUCCCAAAAGAGUCCCCUCUGGCCUGGGUCCUCAAAAAUCUCAAACCACUCUUACUCACUGAACUCAAAGCUAGCUGCUUAGAACAGCUCUGCAUACAGAUCUGGCCUCAGUACCAACUGGACAAUCAAAACCACUGGCCUGAAUUCGGCACAUUUGACUUGUACAUUCUUCAAGAUGUCACCAACUUCCUUAAACGGAAUGGCAAGUGGUCGGAUGUCCCCUAUGCCCAAGCCUUUUGGGCCCUUCAGAGCAGGCCCUCCCUAUGCAAGGCCUGCUCCACCCACGAGUUCCUUCUAUGCACCUUGCUUCCCAAACAAAAGGACCCCUCCUCUUCAACUAAACGCCAAUCGCGACCUUCCGCACCCCCAGGAGUUCGACCCUGCGGACAAGCCCCCUCCCU